AGAAUCUUUCGCAAUGCCCGAAAGGGUGACGAAGCGACGCCGCGUGUGGGAAGAAGGCCUUCGGGUUGUAAACCACUGUCGGGAGUUAAGAAAUGUAAGGAUGUUAAUAGCGUCCUUGCUUGACUAAGGCUCCGGAGGAAGCCACGGCUAACUCUGUGCCAGCAGCCGCGGUAAUACAGAGGCGGCAAGCGUUGUUCGGAAUUAUUGGGCGUAAAGAGCACGUAGGCGGCCUUGAAAGUCAGUUGUGAAAGCCUUCUGCUUAACGGAAGAACAGCAUCUGAUACUACAGGGCUUGAGUGCGGGAGGGGAGAAUGGAACUUCUGGUGGAGCGGUGAAAUGCGUAGAUAUCAGAAGGAACGCCGGCGGCGAAAGCGGCUCUCUGGCCCGUAACUGACGCUGAGUGUGCGAAAGCUAGGGGAUCAAACGGGAUUAGAUACCCCGGUAGUCCUAGCCGUAAACGAUGGGCACUAAGUAGAGGGGUUUUGAUUAUCUCUCUGCCGGAGCUAACGCAUUAAGUGCCCCGCCUGGGAAGUACGGCCGCAAGGCUAAAACUCAAAAGAAUUGACGGGGGCUCGCACAAGCGGUGGAGCAUGUGGCUUAAUUCGAUGCAACGCGAAGAACCUUACCGGGGUUUGACAUGGUAGAAGUAGGAACCAGAAAUGGUAACGAACGGUAUCCAGUCCGUAACUAUCACAGGUGUUGCAUGGCUG
rnacentral:rRNA from 1 species